UACGUAGGUGGCAAGCGUUGUCCGGAUUUACUGGGCGUAAAGCGCGCGCAGGCGGAUGGUUAAGUAGGAAGUGAAAGGUUGGAGCUCAACUCCAACAUUGCUCCCUAUACUGGCCGUCUUGAGUCCCGGAGAGGAAAGCGGAACGACACGUGGAGCGGUGAAAUGCGUUGAUAUGUGUCGGAACACCAAUGGCGAAGGCAGCUUUCUGGACGGGUACUGACGCUCAGGCGCGAAAGCGUGGGGAGCGAACGGG
rnacentral:rRNA from 1 species